rnacentral:tRNA from 1 species
GCCCUCAUAGCUCAGUUGGCAGAGCGCAUCCAUGGUAAGGAUGAGGUCCCCGGUCCGAUUCCGGGUGAGGGCU